AGCAAUUAUACAGCGAAACUGCGAAUGGCUCAUUAUAUAAGUUAUCGUUUAUUUGAUAGUACCUUACUACUUGGAUAACCGUGGUAAUUCUAGAGCUAAUACAUGCUAAAAAUCCCGACUUCGGAAGGGAUGUAUUUAUUAGAUUAAAAACCAAUGCCCUCUGGGCUCUCUGGUGAUUCAUGAUAACUUCUCGAAUCGCAUGGCCUUGCGCCGGCGAUGGUUCAUUCAAAUUUCUUCCCUAUCAACUUUCGAUGUUUGGGUAGUGGCCAAACAUGGUUGCAACGGGUAACGGAGGGUUAGGGCUCGACCCCGGAGAAGGAGCCUGAGAAACGGCUACUACAUCCAAGGAAGGCAGCAGGCGCGCAAAUUACCCAAUCCCGAUUCGGGGAGGUAGUGACAAUAAAUACUGAUACAGGGCUCUUUUGGGUCUUGUAAUUGGAAUGAGUACAAUUUAAAUCCCUUAACGAGGAACAAUUGGAGGGCAAGUCUGGUGCCAGCAGCCGCGGUAAUUCCAGCUCCAAUAGCGUAUAUUAAAGUUGUUGUGGUUAAAAAGCUCGUAGUUGAACCUUGGGCCUGGUUGGCCGGUCCGCCUCACCGCGUGUACUGGUCCGGCCGGGCCUUUCCCUCUGUGGAACCCCAUGCCCUUCACUGGGUGUGGCGGGGAAACAGGACUUUUACUUUGAAAAAAUUAGAGUGCUCCAGGCAGGCCUAUGCUCGAAUACAUUAGCAUGGAAUAAUAAAAUAGGACGUGCGGUUCUAUUUUGUUGGUUUCUAGGACCGCCGUAAUGAUUAAUAGGGACAGUCGGGGGCAUCAGUAUUCAAUUGUCAGAGGUGAAAUUCUUGGAUUUAUUGAAGACUAACUACUGCGAAAGCAUUUGCCAAGGAUGUUUUCAUUAAUCAGGAACGAAAGUUAGGGGAUCGAAGACGAUCAGAUACCGUCGUAGUCUUAACCAUAAACUAUGCCGACUAGGGAUCGGACGAUGUUAUUUUUUGACUCGUUCGGCACCUUACGAGAAAUCAAAGUGCUUGGGCUCCA
rnacentral:rRNA from 1 species